UAGGGAAUCUUCGGCAAUGGGGGGAACCCUGACCGAGCAACGCCGCGUGAGUGAAGAAGGUUUUCGGAUCGUAAAGCUCUGUUGUUAAGGAAGAACGAGUGUGAGAAUGGAAAGUUCAUACUGUGACGGUACUUAACCAGAAAGGGACGGCUAACUACGUGCCAGCAGCCGCGGUAAUACGUAGGUCCCGAGCGUUGUCCGGAUUUAUUGGGCGUAAAGCGAGCGCAGGCGGUUAGAUAAGUCUGAAGUUAAAGGCAGUGGCUCAACCAUUGUAGGCUUUGGAAACUGUUUAACUUGAGUGCAGAAGGGGAGAGUGGAAUUCCAUGUGUAGCGGUGAAAUGCGCAGAUAUUAGGAGGAAUACCGGUGGCGAAGGCGACUUUCUGGCCAUAAUCUGACGCUGAGGUACGAAAGCGUGGGUAGCAAACAGG
rnacentral:rRNA from 1 species